rnacentral:rRNA from 1 species
GGGUCAGUAGGUUGGUCGUGCCACCGGUACGUACUGGUCUCACUGAUUCCUCCUUCCUGAAGAACCGUAAUGCCAUUAAUUUGGUGUUGCGGGGAAACAGGACUGUUACUUUGAAAAAAUUAGAGUGUUUAAAGCAAGCUAACGCUUGAAUACAUUAGCAUGGAAUAAUGAAAUAGGACGACCGAUCCUGUUUUGUUGGUUUCUAGGAUUGACGUA